CAUCGGCCCGGCCCCCAGCAGCGCCGAGGGGUGCUGCUGAGCCAAGCAGGCCCAACAACAUUCAUCGUGUCGCGAUGAGCACGGGACCAGAGGACGACGGUUGCAGAUGAGUGGAAGAGAUGCCAGGAGGAAGAUCAAACGAGCUCUGAACUUUACGUCAAAAGUAACAUCACAGCAGGAUCGAUUAAUGAGACUGAUGGAGGAGGUGAAGGAGCUUAAAAUACUGCUAACUGAAGAUAAGAAGAUUUCGGCCUAAGAGCAAAGAGUUGAUGAACUUGAACAAUAUACAAGACGAGAGGAUUUGGUGAUAAUGGUGGAAACCCGACACAGAAGCUACGCAAAAGCAGUAGAAGAUCACGACGCAGCAGGAGAGGCGUCAGACAAAGAGCCCGAGACACUAGAGCAGCAAGCGGUUACUUUUCUGCACAGCAAGAACAUAACUACUCAAAGAGAUACUAUCAUCAGAAACCUGCAGUGAACACGUCUGUUUUCCUCUAGUGGAAGACCUGUGUAUUACAGGCGACAGGAUUUUGUUCUUCUUUGCUCCUGAUGUGAAUGAUUGCUGCUGUGACACCAACAUUUCCCCACCGAGUGUAAGGAAUUUUUACUUCUUGCAGAAAUAGGUAGAUUUUUGUCUUUAUUUUUGUCUGUGUUGAGCAUUUGCAUCUAUAGAUUGUAGCUGUAUUCCUUUUAACUGUAUCAGGGUAAACAAAUACAAAACUGAAGUUACAAAAAUAGAACUAUACAAAUCAUACGGUUUCCAUAGGACCACAUUUAACACACAUCAAUACAAUCAUUAAAAAAUGUUAUUAGUGCA